UACGAAGGGGGCUAGCGUUGCUCGGAAUUACUGGGCGUAAAGGGAGCGUAGGCGGAUAGUUUAGUCAGAGGUGAAAGCCCAGGGCUCAACCUUGGAAUUGCCUUUGAUACUGGCUAUCUUGAGUACGGAAGAGGUAUGUGGAACUCCGAGUGUAGAGGUGAAAUUCGUAGAUAUUCGGAAGAACACCAGUGGCGAAGGCGACAUACUGGUCCGUUACUGACGCUGAGGCUCGAAAGCGUGGGGAGCAAACAGGAUUAGAAACCCCCGUAGUCC
rnacentral:rRNA from 1 species